AUGUAUUUUCAGUUGCUACUACCCAAAGAUGGCAAUCAACAGACAGAUAGGUUAUCUCUGUCUUACUAUAGGAGAGGCAUAUGGAUUCAUGUUAAUGAAGGAGAAAUGGCAAAUGGAUGUUUAUUGUGGCUUCUCCAUCUACAGGUGGCCAAUUGGGGUGGAGGUAGGGUGGGGAGUAGAGAGCCAAGAGACACAUUUUGUGUCCUGAACGGAUGCCACCCUGUAUUGACUGUCUACUUUCUGCCCGGAGCCUCUAAGUGCCGCACUAAUGUUCUCUUCUCACACUACUGGAAGAGAGGUUAAUUUACCUCAUACUUAUAACUUUGACAAUCAAACAGCUUAACAGCUAUUUCAGACAUCUAUUCCUGCUAGAGGAUGCACUGUCCCUAUUUUUGGAAGCCGGCUGACGCAGAAGAAAGGUAAUGUGAUAGAGAACCUUUAGACCCUUUUAAAUCACCAACGCAAAUCACCACCAGAUUACCAAGGAUCUAAAUAUGUACUGUCUAAUGAUGCUCAUAAAGAUGCCAGCACACCGUUAUGUUCCUCUUUGAUGUUUUAGCAGUAUUUACAUAGAAUUCUAAAGAACUACUUUCCAAAAAAGAGUUUUAGAUAUUCUAUAGAUGUUAUCGCCACUGUUUUUUGCAAUAACCCUGAAUAGCUCAGGGAGGUCAAUCUCCUCAAACGUCUAGAAAGAGCCUGUUUGAAUAUUCGAAUCCUAGUCUGUAAAGUCAAAGGCCGUGCUGUUUCCACCAUGACACUGUUUAUUAGAGGGAAGAAAUCCAAUUCUGGUCCCUUUGACAUUUAGUGUCCUCCCUCCUCACUAGCCACCUCUAGUGAUGGUGAGCAGGCACAAUUCACCACAAUUGGUUACUUUAGUAAAUAAUUUUCAAUAUAAGUGAAUUAAAAUAAAAUGUUAUCAAUUUUUCCCACUAGAAAUUUUUGCUAAUGUCCUGGGAAUUUGCAAAAUCAGUAAUCUGUUGACUUUAGCUCUAUGUCUGUGAUACUGCCUUACUGAUAGCUUUCCAAAGAAGAUAGUGGGUAAUCAAGGCAAACUCUGUGGAAUUUUGAUGAGCACAAACAAACCAGGGUAACAUUUAAAUUAUGUGCAGCAGGUAAAAUCUAAGUCUUGAUAUUUUCAGUGGAAAACUAGUUUGGAAUAGAGAAAAAAAUAAUUUAAUAUGUUACUAUUAAACAUAAACUUGCUUUGGGAUUUUGCUUGCUUUCAUCAUCAAGUAACUAGCCCUAAAGUUCUCAGCCAGGCUUGGAUUUAGGAUGUCAGGCUCUGGUAGUGAGAGCUAGAUGGUGCUAUAGUAUAAUUGCCAGCUGCCCAAUUACUACCAGUUUGUCUGACUGUAAUGAAUGAGGGUUCUGGAAUAUGAAAUUCAGCUCUGUGUUGCUCGUAUUUUCUGUAAGUGCAAUAUAAUACAACAUAAAAUGAAGAAUUUUAUCUUCUCUCUCUUUCUCCCCCCUGCUCUUUCCAUCUGAUAUGCCUACCAGCCACCUCCCCCCGCCGCCGCCCCAACAGACACGCACUUUGCUGACAUUUUUCCUAGAAUAAACAGGUGAGAAUCACUAUUCUGGGUGGUCUGACUGUUUCCAGAGUGACAAACGCAUCUUUUAUCCUAUGUCCCAGAUUCAGCAGUUCUUUUUCUAUCUAAUCAAAGAGGGCUAAAGUUUUUAUAGGUCAUAUGUGAGAUAAGGUUAGUGCCAACUUACAUGAAUGGCUUGUAGUCUUGCAGGAAGGACAAUGAAUGGUAUUUCAGAGUGGGAAGGAGACAUUGGACGUUUUUCAGUUCAAUUUCCCACUUGGGUUUGAUGUAGUUCAUUUUUUGAGUUUGAAAAAAAAAAGUACUUCCAGAUAUUCCAGUUUAUUUGCAAGGGUUAAGGAAGGCCAGGAAUAAGUUUCUGGUAUAGGAAGGCCCAUGACUGUGUGCUCUUACAUGAUAGUGCAUAAUGCUGGGAAAAUGAAGGACCAGAAUGUUAACAGAAUGGUACCUUCCAAGUGUGUGCUCCUAAUGUCACAUGCUAUCCUAUAGGAGGAGCCAAACCAUUCAACAAAUUCAGCUGAAGCAUUUAAGAAAAUGAGACUUUUUGCUUCCCACAACCUCUCUUUCUUUAGUCCCUGUCUCUACAGCUUCUAGUUGUCAUAAAUGUCACAAAUACCUCACCUAUUCUUGAUAUAAGAACAUACUAUACAGAGCAUACAGAAGAGAAUGACUAUGAUGAAAUAGAUGAUGAAUUUCUGAUUGAGGGCCUCUGGGAAAUUUUCCCUUCCCUCAAUUUUUCCUCUUCAGCCUGCCUAAGGAUCACCCAUAUCACUCUCCAAGAUGAGAUUUAUUUCUGAAUUGAGGCCAUGUUUACUUCAUAGGAACUUGCAAAAACACACACGUUUGGCCAAACAGCAUGCACAGGAUUCCUGAAAACAAUUUAAAAGGAAAUGAUGGAGUUCCUCUGUGGCUCGGUGGGUUAAGGAUCUGACAUUUUCUCUGUGGGGAUGUGGGUUUGAUCCCUGGUUUGUUCAGGGGGUUAAGGAUCUGACAUUUCCACAAGCUGUGACCAAGCUAAGAAGACAUGACCUUAUAGGGAGAGCAAACAGGGGAUCAGGUUCCUGAUGAAAGCCAAGCCAAGUUGUCUUAAAGACUCAGUGAGGAGAAGGGAGCAUGGGAUGAAAGGAAGAUCGAUGGAUGAGCUAUAGGUGUUGCCUCCCUGUCUGACAUCCCAAACUGAUUCACCAGAGCCGGGCUCUGAUUUAUGGGUUUAUGGGUUAUGGUGCCUCCAGAGAGCAUAGCUAAUUUCUCUGCCAAGCAGAGAAUGAAAUUUACCCAAUAGAAAUACUAUAAUUAAAGGGCAAUAGUGGUUUCAUUGCAAAACAAAAUAGAAGUUCAUAGAGAGAUUUAAAAGCAACAUUUACAAGACGGAAAUUAAGGCUUGUGGAUCCCACCUUUGCAGGACCCGGUUUUGCUCCCACUGCUGCAGUCACUAUAACUAUAGGUGCUGUGCUUUUAGGCUUUCCUCCCUGAGUUUUCCUGCCUUUCCCUCAUGUUUACCCCCUGGGGAGGCAUUGGCUCUGGAGCCAGACAGAUCUGUAGGCAAAUCUUGGGGAGUCAUUGACCACUUUGCCCCUCAGUUUCUUUUUGAAGUGAAAUAAUCUGAUACACUGUGGGGAGGGUUAACUAGUUACUAUCUGUAAAGUACUUAAGGUCUGACGGUCAAAUUGUCAAAUGUCAAAUGUAAGUUCCAUGACUACAGGCAUUUUGUGCAUUUUUUGUUCCCUGCUGCCUCCUCAGCAC
rnacentral:lncRNA from 1 species